UACGGGGGGGCAAGCGUUUGUUCGGAAUUACUGGGCGUAAAGGGCUCGUAGGCGGCCAACUAAGUCGGACGUGAAAUCCCCAGGCUCAACCUGGGAACUGCGUCCGAUACUGGAUGGCUUGAAUUCGGGAGAGGGAUGCAGAAUUCCAGGUGUAGCGGUGAAAUGCGUAGAUAUCUGGAGGAACACCGGUGGCGAAGGCGGCAUCCUGGACCGGCAUUGACGCUGAGGAGCGAAAGCCAGGGGAGCAAAGCGGGG
rnacentral:rRNA from 1 species